GUCGUCGUGAGGCGGGGUCUGAAAGAAGCGUGUGACCAAAGCUAUGAUCUGACGAACAAAAACCAGAUAAUGAGGCCUGUCCCGGCCGGACGAGCGGGCAAAUGAUCGCGAAAUCCAUAACCAUCAAGGUCCGGGGGUGGUAGGUCUGGCAGGUGUGUAGCGAAAGCGGUUCAGCUU
rfam:Candidatus Burkholderia pumila strain TZHbot3 BPMIctg290, whole genome shotgun sequence.